CGCGGGGUGGAGCAGCCUGGUAGCUCGUCGGGCUCAUAACCCGAAGGUCGUCGGUUCAAAUCCGGCCCCCCCGCAACCA
rnacentral:tRNA from 1 species